AAAACCACUUAAAAGCACCAUAAUUUCUUUUAGGUUUCUUUAUACAUAAAAAAUUUUGUUUAUACAUUGCCAUACAUAUAUGUUUAGUUUUUAAUUGGUUGAGUAGCGAAACUGUGGCAACGUUUGCGCCGCUCGAUGCGGCAGCCGUUUUGGUGUGUGUUUACAUGUUUCAAACUUCAAAGUGCACUGUGG
rnacentral:lncRNA from 1 species